rnacentral:rRNA from 1 species
AGAGUUUGAUCCUGGCUCAGGAUGAACGCUGGCGGCGUGCCUAAUACAUGCAAGUCGAACGCACAGCGAAAGGUGCUUGCACCUUUCAAGUGAGUGGCGAACGGGUGAGUAACACGUGGAUAACCUACCUCAAGGUUGGGGAUAACAUUUGGAAACAGAUGCUAAUACCGAAUAAAACUUCGUAUCGCAUGAUACAAGGUUAAAAGGCGCUACGGCGUCACCUAGAGAUGGAUCCGCGGUGCAUUAGUUAGUUGGUGGGGUAAAGGCCUACCAAGACAAUGAUGCAUAGCCGAGUUGAGAGACUGAUCGGCCACAUUGGGACUGAGACACGGCCCAAACUCCUACGGGAGGCUGCAGUAGGGAAUCUUCCACAAUGGGCGAAAGCCUGAUGGAGCAACGCCGCGUGUGUGAUGAAGGCUUUCGGGUCGUAAAGCACUGUUGUAUGGGAAGAACAGCUAGAGUAGGGAAUGACUUUAGUUUGACGGUACCAUACCAGAAAGGGACGGCUAAAUACGUGCCAGCAGCCGCGGUAAUACGUAUGUCCCGAGCGUUAUCCGGAUUUAUUGGGCGUAAAGCGAGCGCAGACGGUUGAUUAAGUCUGAUGUGAAAGCCCGGAGCUCAACUCCGGAAAGGCAUUGGAAACUGGUCAACUUGAGUGCAGUAGAGGUAAGUGGAACUCCAUGUGUAGCGGUGGAAUGCGUAGAUAUAUGGAAGAACACCAGCGGCGAAGGCGGCUUACUGGACUGUAACUGACGUUGAGGCUCGAAAGUGUGGGUAGCAAACAGGAUUAGAUACCCUGGUAGUCCACACCGUAAACGAUGAA